UGCAGUCGACGGUAACAGUCUCUUCGGAGAGCUGACGAGUGGCGCACGGGUGCGUAACGCGUAUGCAACCUACCUCUAACUGGAGAAUAGCCCGGGGAAACUCGGAUUAAUACUCCAUAGUAUCAAGAUUUCACCUGAUAUCUUGAUUAAAGUUCUGGCGGUUAGAGAUGGGCAUGCGUCCUAUUAGUUAGUUGGCGAGGUAACGGCUCACCAAGACAGCGAUAGGUAGGGGGUCUGAGAGGAUGAUCCCCCACACUGGUACUGAGACACGGACCAGACUCCUACGGGAGGCAGCAGUGAGGAAUAUUGGGCAAUGGACGAAAGUCUGACCCAGCCAUGCCGCGUGCAGGAUGACGGCCCUAUGGGUUGUAAACUGCUUUUAUAUGGGAAGAAACCCCUCUACGUGUAGAGGGCUGACGGUACCAUACGAAUAAGCAUCGGCUAACUCCGUGCCAGCAGCCGCGGUAAUACG
rnacentral:rRNA from 1 species